rnacentral:rRNA from 1 species
GACGAACGCUGGCGGCGUGCUUAACACAUGCAAGUCGAACGGAAAGGCCCCUUUGGGGGUACUCGAGUGGCGAACGGGUGAGUAACACGUGAGUAACCUGCCCUUGACUUCGGGAUAACUUCAGGAAACUGGGGCUAAUACCGGAUAGGAAUCCUUGCUGCAUGGUGGGGGUUGGAAAGCUUCGGGGGUUUUGGAUGGACUCGCGGCUUAUCAGCUUGUUGGUGGGGUAGUGGCUUACCAAGGCUUUGACGGGUAGCCGGCCUGAGAGGGCGACCGGCCACAUUGGGACUGAGAUACGGCCCAGACUCCUACGGGAGGCAGCAGGGGGGAAUAUUGCAAAAUGGGCGGAAGCCUGAUGCAGCAACGCCGCGUGCGGGAUGACGGCCUUCGGGUUGUAAACCGCUUUCGCCUGGGGCGAAGCGUGUGUGACGGUAACGUGAAAAGAAGCAACGGCUAAAUACGUG